CCCUUAGAUGUUCUGGGCCGCGCGCGCGCUACACUGAUGCAUUCAACGAGCACCCGCUGGGCCGAGAGGUCCGGCUAAUCUUUGAACGUGCAUCGUGCUGGGGAUAGAUGAUUGCAAUUAUUCAUCUUCAACGAGGAAUUCCUAGUAAACGCAAGUCAUCAGCUUGCAUUGAUUACGUCCCUGCCCUUUGUACACACCGCCCGUCGCACCUACCGAUUGAAUGGUCCGGUGAAAUUCUCGGACGCGGACUAGCGAUGUUAAUUCGGAGCUUGACUGUGGAAGUUAAUUAAACCUUACCAUUUAGAGGAAGGUGAAGUCGUAACA
rnacentral:rRNA from 1 species